ACAAAGGCUCUUUUAAGAGCCACCACAUUACCAAGAAAGAUUUGU
rfam:Strongylocentrotus purpuratus Contig106699_fixed, whole genome shotgun sequence.